UUUACACACCCUACAACCCCUGUGAACGUACCUCUUGUUGCCUCCGCGGUGCAGCAGGCGGGAUCUGGUGCUACCCGGUAGUGGGCUACCCUGUGACGAGUGAGUUACCCGGUAGACCGCUACCCUGUAGUGCCGGGUGCCCCUCUCCCGCGAAAGGCCCUCACGAACUCUGUCAUGACCUGCAAUUCUGAAUCAAAAACAAAUAAGUUAAAACUUUCAACAACGGAUCUCUUGGUUCUGGCAUCGAUGAAGAACGCAGCGAAAUGCGAUAAGUAAUGUGAAUUGCAGAAUUCAGUGAAUCAUCGAAUCUUUGAACGCACAUUGCGCCCAUUAGUAUUCUAGUGGGCAUGCCUGUUCGAGCGUCAUUUCAACCCUUAAGCCCUGUUGCUUAGCGUUGGGAGCCUGCUGGCCUCGUGCCGGCAGCUCCUCAAAGUUAGUGGCGGAGUCGGUACACACUCUAGGCGUAGUAAUUGCUCUCUCGCCUCUGCAGCAGUGCCGGCCCCUGCCGUAAAACACCCCAAUUUUUUAAUGGUUGACCUCGGAUCAGGUAGGAAUACCCGCUGAACUUAA
rnacentral:rRNA from 1 species